UUAAGGUAUUUUCUUAAUUUUCUGAUGGCAAGACAUGUGAAAGUGAAGCUUCAUCUUAUUUUAUAUCUUAUGCUUUGGAAUACAUUUGAUUGAAAACAAAUGCAGGAAUGUUUCUCAAAUCCAAAUAUUGAGUUAUAUCGUGAGCAUACGUUGGAGCAUAUGAGUGUUUUGUGGGGAGCUUGGAGAUCAAAAUUGUAUGCAGAUCACGUGAAACCUUACAAAAACAAGAUCAAUGCUUUAAAAAAGGUUCCACGUGGGAUGAAUGAUAAAGAUUGGGAAUGGCUCGUAACUAACAAGUUUCUAACUAAAGAGUUUCAGGAUAUCAGUGACCGAAAUUCUAAGAAUCGAUCAAAAUCUGAUUUGUUUAUGCCUCAUCUUACUGUGAGCAGACCACAUAGAGAUAUCAUUUAUGACAAGGGAGGUAAAAAUUCUGAAAUGCCUGAUUUGGGAGUAAUUUUCUUCGAGACUCGGAGCAAAAAUGGAAAAUUUAAGGGGACAAAGGAGAAAGACAAAUAUGAUGAAAUUGUUGAAACAAUUCAAUCUAAUCCAUCUCUCAGUAACCUUGAACUUGCUGAAAAAUGUUUCGGGCCACAACAGCAUGGAAUUGUUUAUGGUUAUGGAGGUGGUGUGAAACGGAAAACAUUUCACGACUGGAAAUCUUCUUACACCAAGGAACUCGAGGAAAAACUUUCUGCAAAAGAUGAAGAAAAUCGUCUGCUUAGGAAACGAGUGGAUAGACUUGAAGAAAGGUUCGAUCAAUGGGAGAGAAGUGGUUUACCAUCAGAAUAAAGCCCACAUUUUUGCUGAAUAAAUUUCUUCAUUUGCCAUCCAAGUGUAACAGAGCAACUCUUAGACAGGUUUUACUUUUCUGCUAUCCAUUUAUGUCGUUGAAACCUUGAUCGAAGUUUGGGAAACAGGAAAAGAAAAAACGAAGUUGAGAUAGAGAUCUUCAUUCUGCUGGCUAAUAUGUAGGCUUAAUAAAUGUGUAGUUGAUUGGAAUCUGUUUAUAUUCUUGACAAGUGAUAUCUUUCAAGUUCACUUUUGUAUAUCCAACAUCUAGUUUUGUAUAUUUCAGCUAAUUGAAAGCUGCAAAAUCAAAUUGAAUAAUAAAACUUAUGUUUUGUAUA